GACGAACGCUGGCGGCGUGCUUAACACAUGCAAGUCGAACGAAGUGGCGAACGGGUGAGUAAUACGUGGGUAACCUGCCCUCCUUUUUGGGAUAAGCCUUGGAAACGGGGUCUAAUACCGAAUAAAGGGGGAUGGGCUCGCGGCCUAUCAGCUUGUUGGUGGGGUGAUGGCCUACCAAGGCGGUGACGGGUAGCCGGGCUGAGAGGGUGAGCGUGAACGUUGGGACGGCGGUACGGCCCAUGCGCCUACGGGAGGCAGCAUUGGGGGAGAUGGCGCAAUGGGCGAAAGCCUGAUGCCGCGACGCCGCGUGGGGGAUGAAGGCUUUCGGGUUGUAAACCUCUGUCGCUAUCGAACCGGUAGGUGGAGAAGAAGCGCCGGCUAACUACGUGCCAGCAGCCGCGGUAAUAC
rnacentral:rRNA from 1 species